rnacentral:rRNA from 1 species
AUUAAACGCUGGCGGCAUGCCUUACACAUGCAAGUCGAACGGUAGCGCGGGGCAACCUGGCGACGAGUGGCGAACGGGUGAGUAAAGCAUCGGAACGUGCCCUGGAAUGGGGGAUAACGUAGCGAAAGUUACGCUAAUACCGCAUAUUCUGUGAGCAGGAAAGCAGGGGAUCGCAAGACCUUGCGUUCUGGGAGCGGCCGAUGUCGGAUUAGCUAGUUGGUGGGGUAAAAGCCUACCAAGGCGACGAUCCGUAGCGGGUCUGAGAGGAUGAUCCGCCACACUGGGACUGAGACACGGCCCCAGACUCCUACGGGAGGCAGCAGUGGGGAAUUUUGGACAAUGGGCGCAAGCCUGAUCCAGCCAUGCCGCGUGAGUGAA